rnacentral:misc_RNA from 1 species
UUUCCGUAGGUGAACCUGCGGAAGGAUCAUUAUCGUAGGGGCCUCGCCCCCUUCGAGAUAGCACCCUUUGUUUAUGAGCACCUCUCGUUUCCUCGGCGGGCUCGCCCGCCAACGGGGACCACAAAGAAACCUCUUGCAGUUGCAGUAAACGUCAUAAAUCAAAACAAAAAUCAAAACUUUCAACAACGGAUCUCUUGGUUCUGGCAUCGAUGAAGAACGCAGC